rnacentral:rRNA from 1 species
UAAGGAAUAUUGGUCAAUGGACGCAAGUCUGAACCAGCCAUGCCGCGUGAAGGAUGAAGGUCCUCUGGAUUGUAAACUUCUUUUAUCUGGGACGAAAACGGGAUUUUUAUCUCAAUUGACGGUACCAGAGGAAUAAGCACCGGCUAACUCCGUGCCAGCAGCCGCGGUAAUACGGAGGGUGCGAGCGUUAUCCGGAUUUACUGGGUUUAAAGGGUGCGUAGGUGGGCUUAUAAGUCAGUGGUGAAGUCUCCGAGCUUAACUUGGAAACUGCCGUUGAUACUAUAGGUCUUGAAUUAUCUGGAGGUAAGCGGAAUAUGUCAUGUAGCGGUGAAAUGCUUAGAUAUGACAUAGAACACCAAUUGCGAAGGCAGCUUACUACAUAUAAAUUGACGCUGAGGCACGAAAGCGUGGGGAUCAAACA